UAUGUUAAACUUCCCCUAGUACGAAAGGACCGGAGAAGUGAGGCCAAUACCACAAGCAUGCCUCCCCUUACAAAUAAUGACCUCAACUUAAUUAUCAAAAAGGUUACCACUCCCAUUGCCCUAGAAAAGGGCCCA
rnacentral:rRNA from 1 species